rnacentral:hammerhead_ribozyme from 1 species
GUACUGCUGAAGAACCCCAAACUAGGACGAAACAGCUGUCCAGUAC